UACGUAGGGUGCGAGCGUUAAUCGGAAUUACUGGGCGUAAAGCGUGCGCAGGCGGUUCGUUAUGUCCGAUGUGAAAGCCCCGAGCUUAACUUGGGAAUGGCAUUGGAAACUGGCGGGCUGGAGUGCGGCAGAGGGGGGUGGAAUUGCCAGCGUGUAGCAGAUGAAAUGCGUAGAGAUGUGGAGGAACACCAGUGGCGAAAGCGGCAUCCUG
rnacentral:rRNA from 1 species